rnacentral:rRNA from 1 species
AUUGAACGCUGGCGGCAGGCCUAACACAUGCAAGUCGAGCGGAUGACGGGAGCUUGCUCCUUGAUUCAGCGGCGGACGGGUGAGUAAUGCCUAGGAAUCUGCCUGGUAGUGGGGGACAACGUUUCGAAAGGAACGCUAAUACCGCAUACGUCCUACGGGAGAAAGCAGGGGACCUUCGGGCCUUGCGCUAUCAGAUGAGCCUAGGUCGGAUUAGCUAGUUGGUGGGGUAAUGGCUCACCAAGGCGACGAUCCGUAACUGGUCUGAGAGGAGGAUCAGUCACACUGGAACUGGAACACGGUCCAGACUCCUACGGGAGGCAGCAGUGGGGAAUAUUGGACAAUGGGCGAAAGCCUGAUCCAGCCAUGCCGCGUGUGUGAAGAAGGUCUUCGGAUUGUAAAGCACUUUAAGUUGGGAGGAAGGGCAGUAAGUUAAUACCUUGCUGUUUUGACGUUACCGACAGAAUAAGCACCGGCUAACUCUGUGCCAGCAGCCGCCGUAAAAC